rnacentral:lncRNA from 1 species
AUGCUGAUUAAUAGGGCAGGAGAGUUUGGGGGGGAGUGGGAGAAAGUAGAGGGUUUGGAUGAAUGCCGGGGUGCAGAAAAGGCAGUCUUUUCAGCAUUUCGGGGCCCACAGCCUCACAGCGCUGCUUGCUUCUCAGCCAAGUGGAAACUGCACUCGGCACAGCGGCAGAUGUACCUGCGGAAUAGACCAAUGGAGCUGGAGUCACCUGCCACCAAUUUGGGACAUCGUGCUAUGAAGCAUUCGGUGAGUUGGAUGAAAGGGUUGUUCUAGGCUGGCGUGAGCUUUUGAAGUACAGCGCCCUGCAGGGAUGGGCUGGCAACCUCAGAGGUCACUCUGCCCAUUAGCAGCUGGUGUGAGCUGGCUUGUCAACUCACCUCUGUUCCUUGGUGGCUCUGUUCUCUGCAAGGGGGCCUGGUAGCUGAGGGUGGAAACAUAGAAGGGAUUUGGGGGCUGAAAUCUAUGUAAGGGAGGGACUUCUGAAUGAACUUAGAGUGG